CUUGUACUGCCCUCAGUCUCUAUAAUUAUCCCAAGCCAAACUCCAUAAAUCUGCUGUUCCUCGACUGUCAGCGUGAGCACACAAGCGGCCAGAGUGACGAGAGAGGCCCACCAUCCUUUCCCCCAACAAUCUCCCAAACUGGGGGGUGGGUGCAAAUGCUCUCUGGAAGAUAGCCCAACUUUUGAGCCGUUUUUAUCAACUCAUUAUUUUCAGCAGACUUAUUUGCCUUGACUAACUCAUGCAGAGUGGACUGGUAUCUCCAUGCCGAUAUUCUUUGCAGAAUGCAGCUGCAGCCAACUUCUCAACGGACAUGUCAAGGGCCAUCUCACACUGCACAGUCAGUGCCGCCUUUCAAAUCAAUCGCAAGAGAUAAACUAUCUCCGUACUGUAGACCUAAUCUCUGCAGGCUUUGCCGUCCUCCGUUCAAUCCUUGUUUUCCUUAAGGCAUGUUGACAUUUUGUUCCGUCAAAUCCUUAUCCUUUAUAACCAUCUAACUCCCCUAUCUGUGCAUACCCCUUCUUGAUAUCAGCCCAACGAGCAAUGUGUCAGCGGACGUGACCAAUGCACUUUAUUUUAUUUCAAGCUAUCGAGAAGGGAAGUCGCCAUCUGUUUCUACAUUGCUCCCAGCCAGUUGCUCAAGACCAUGAUGACUUAGCGAUCAAUUGCUUCAACGCUUCAUGACUUGUGUUUUGAUCAAGGCGGCCGGUCAGCGUGUGAUCUAAAGGGC
rnacentral:sRNA from 1 species